UCGGCUUCAUCAUGCUCCUCAGAAGAGAUGCCUCCCCACUCAUCAGAAUGGAAGGCAUUUCCAUUGUGCUGGGAAUGAUUGCUUAUAUUAUUCUGUCCAGGACUAGAUGGUGGACUAGCCUCAAUAACUCCAACUUCUCUUGCAGAUUCAAUAGAGCCAGAAGAUGUACGUCUUGAUCUAUGCGUAACAAGAGGCUGCUCAUCCACAUCUUCAGAUUCCUCUUGAAUAGAUAACUUUCCUGUCCUCGACCUUCCAUUUGAGGUCACUACUGUCCCCAACUCUACCUCAUCUGGCUUUGAAGCUCCCAUUUCGGAUGCUCCAAUUUUUCCCCUCUGCUCUCGCAAUGCUUUCUCUUGCUCGGCAGCCUUAGCCUCCUGUUUUGAAGCCUCUAUAGCAGCCUGAAUCAUUUCUUCUUCAAUGUCAUUGUUGUAGUCAGGCAACUUAUUGAAUUCAGGGGCACUCGGUCGACUAUGAUUCUCAAGACUACUACCACUAGAAAUAUCACGUCUUCGCUCUGUAAGUUGUGCAGCCCUUCCGGUUUGAUCAGCUGGAAUAUUAUUAUCAUCUUCAUCAUCAACUAUGACAGUCCCACGAAUAUCUGGGCCUGGUGCAUGUCCAGUUCCAGUUAAAUCCUCAAUGAUAGGGGCAUGACCAGAAUGGCUAGAUGCAUCACUAACGUCCUUGACCUCUAUAGGUAUCUCUCUCCUCUCUCUUAGGUGUGAAACAAAUGGUGCACGGUUCAUAAAGUCAGAACCACCAUCAGAUAGACUUGUAUUAAAGUUUGGAUCAAGAAGUGAAAAUGGGUUCAUUGUACUAGCCUCAGAUAUAAGUGACAGAGGAUUUCUCCCAGGUGGAACUUCAACUGGAUCAUCAAUAUCCAUGAGAUCAUCUUGAGGAGCAACAACAGGGGUUUCAUGCGCAGUGCUUCUAUCUCCUUCAUUGAAAUGUGCAUUGACAGCUGCAUUGAGAUCACCAUUAUACUCCUCAAGCUUUUGAGCGGCGACAGCUUCUGUGGCGCCUGUGAUGCUCAUAAAUGUGUCAAUUGCUUCUUGAUUAGGCCUAGCCAUUUGUAAAGAGAAUUGAUAGAGCUAAUGGUAAUAAUGAUAACAAUAAUAGUAAUCAAUUGUAG
rnacentral:misc_RNA from 1 species